UUUGACUAACACCACUGUGAACUGUUUUAAGCAAGUGGGGUACUUGGACUAGGGUGACCUAGGACUAGGUUUUAAAUGUGCUCUCUUGUACGGCCCCAUUUGUGCAACCAAUUGUGUAUUUUUACGCACUUGUUUUAUCAUGUAUUGAAUCUAAUCUAGACUCAAUGAAUCUAAACGUGACAACUUCUAACGGUGGAUCUCUUGGCUCGUGCAUCGAUGAAGAACGUAGCCAGUUGCGAUAAAUAGUGUGAAUUGCAGAAUUCAGUGAAUCAUCGAAUCUUUGAACGCAAAUUGCGCUUUCUGGAUAUCCAGGGAGCAUGCCUGUCUGAGCGUCGUUUAAUAAUCUACACACCUUGGUGUGGGUAGGGAGUUCAUGUAACUGGCUUGCGCUGGAUACCUGUCUCUCGAUGUGUCUGAACCUUGCUCGUACUUGCUUAUGUACUUGCUUGGAAGGCUCAACUUGCUUCUGCCCUUCUAAAGCUCCGUACUUGCUGUGUGCUGCUCGCGUUCUUUGAGGCUUUUCACAAAGUUUCAGCAUUUCUUUUGACCUCAGAUCAGACAAGACUACCCGCUGAAUUUAAGCAUAUCAAUAAGCGGAGGA
rnacentral:sRNA from 1 species